CCAGCUCCCCCAAGAGCGUCCUCAAGGGUGGGGACAGUAGGUUCAAGAAUCAAUAUCAUUCCUUUUAGGAAUAUCAAGUCAUUCAUUUCAAGAAUCAAUUCAAGAAUCAAGUCAAUCGUUCACAAGAUAAGUCACGAUCACGAUAAUUGAAUAUCAAGUCUCAGGAUAAUGAACAUGUUCAGAUUUCAAUUCAAGCCAAUGAAAGAAUU
rnacentral:lncRNA from 1 species